rnacentral:rRNA from 1 species
UGGCGGACGGGUGAGUAACGCGUGGGUAACCUGCCUCACACAGGGGGAUAACAGUUGGAAACGACCGCUAAUACCGCAUAAGCCAACAGGGGCGCAUGCUCUGGUUGGAAAAGAUUAAUCGGUGUGAGAUGGACCCGCGUCUGAUUAGCCAGUUGGCAGGGUAACGGCCUACCAAAGCGACGAUCAGUAGCCGGCCUGAGAGGGUGAACGGCCACAUUGGGACUGAGACACGGCCCAAACUCCUACGGAAGGCAGCAG